rnacentral:rRNA from 1 species
AUUGAACGCUGGCGGCAGGCCUAACACAUGCAAGUCGAGCGGCGCGGCGGACGGGUGAGUAAUGCCAAGGAAUCGGCCUGGUAGUGAGGGAGAACGUUCGGAAACGGGCGCUAAUACCGCAUACUAUCAGCAGAGCCUAGGUCGGAUUAGCUAGUGGGGGGGGUAAAGGCAAACCAGGGCGACGAUCCGUAACUGGUGUUGGAGGAUGAUCAGUCACACUGGACCUGAGACACGGUCCAGACUCCUACGGGAGGCAGCAGUGGGGAAUAUUGGACAAUGGGCGAAAGCCUGAUGCAGCCAUGCCGCGUGUAUGAAGAAGGUCUUCGGGUUGUAAAGCACUUUAAGUUGGGAGGCGUUACCAACAGAAUAAGCACCGGCUAACUUCGUGCCAGCAGCCGCGGUAAUAC